rnacentral:rRNA from 1 species
CAACUUUCAACAACGGAUCUCUUGGCUCUCGCAUCGAUGAAGAACGCAGCGAAAUGCGAUAAGUAAUGUGAAUUGCAGAAUUCAGUGAAUCAUCGAAUCUUUGAACGCACCUUGCGCCCCUUGGUAUUCCGAGGAGCAUGCCUGUUUGAGUGUCAUAA